CAUAUCUUUCAUCUCCUUUCCAUCUCUGAAGCUUCAUGUCUUCUCCUCUGAAGUUUUAUCUCCUCUUCAUCUCUUAAGAACUGCGUGAUUAUAAACUUCAUCUCUCUUUCAUCUCUAAACCCACUGAAAUCAACAGCCAGGGUACAAUCGUUCGCAUAAUACUUUCGUUUCUCUUUAUAGGGUUUAUAGAUUUUGAUUUCUAGGGUUGGCAUAAUCUCUUUUUUAAUCGAUUUUAGGCUUUCCAUUAUGGAUCUGCUUUUUUUGAUUUUAGGGAUUUUGAUUUGAGGGUUACAUCUAUUAAUAUGCUAUGAGAAAGCUUGAAAUCGUUCCAUCGAUUUUAUUAUUGAAUAAUUUGUCUCAAGUAAAUUAGGUCAAACAAGUUUUAAGGAGAUUCAAUCGAAUUUCAGGCACAGAGGAUCUGCACCCCCUACCCAACGAUCACCCAUACAACAAACGUCCAUGUAUUAGUGGCCCAUAGAGGGUGGCCCACAGCUUAGGGGACGUGUGGAAGAUACUAGUCGCCUAUUUUUAAUAUCCCUGGAUAAACUUAUAAUAUAUAUAUAUAUAUAUUUGAUAUGAAAACACCUUUUAUUCAACAACUUAAUUUAUAAAAUUUAAAUUGAUAGAUUUUCGAUCAUCUCAAACAGCCUUUUUGAAAUUUUCUGGGAUAUCACAAGAGUAAUCAAAAGAGGACAGAUUUAGAAGUUUUAGCAAUUAUAUAAAGAACAUUAUUAGCUGCUAUUUUAACAUGACUUAUUAAAACACAGGAAAAGCCAGAAAAACUAGAGAGUAGAUACCGUAUGUCUUCUAUGAUACCAAGGUUGUUCCACUGAACUAAAGAUUUUAUCUUGUUGAUGGAGUUAAUUACAUUCAGACUGUCACUUUCCAAAAUAACUUGUUGAAGAUUGCAAUCUCUAGCCUACGGUAAAGCUUCUUUCAUGGCUAGAUGUUCUGCAUUUUCUGGAUAUAUUCCUCAAUUGAAGUAUCUCCCUUUGAUGGCUCUGCAACUACCUAUUGAAUGGCGAAUGACUAGCCCAAUUGCAUAUUCAGGAGUGUCAUAAUCAAAAGAAGCAUCUAUAUUAAUUUUAAGAACUCCAUUGGUUGGGGAAAUCCAAACUUGCUUUUGUUUCUGCUUUCCUAAGGUGUAACAGGUACACACUGAUUCACCAUGUACAUGAUAGAAUGGAGCGUAAACAGAAAUUUUGAUUUUUGUUCUCAUAAACUUUGGCACAUAUAUUCUUCCAGAUAAGCCAUGCAUUAGUCAUAAGAAUUAUGACCCUAUGAUUCCAAUCAUAAGUAUCAAUAGCAUUAGAUUAAUGGAACCAACUAGAAAUCCAGUCACUCUCGAUAUUUGACUUUCUAUACAAGCAGUGUUCACAUUCAUCGCAAGCCAUAUAGAUAUGGAGUGAUCACAUUGUAUAAGCAGGUGUUGAAGUGUUUCUUCAUCUUGAGAACAUCGUGGACAAAUUGGAUCUAUAUCAGAAUUACAUUUGCUUAGUUUGACUCUAGUUGGCACAAUUCUCUUAAUACACUUCCAUAUGAACAAUUUAGCCUUGUGUGGAGUUGUGAUUUCCAUAGUUUUUCCAAGUUAACAUUUGUAGUACUUCUAGUGAUGGGUCUGAGUCAGGAGACGCAAUUGUUAAAUCUCUAUAAGUAUCUUUAACUGUGAAAUCACCUGUUUUACUAGGCUCCCAAAUUAACUUAUCUGAACCAUGAUGACUUAUAUACAUUCUUAAAAUUAAGAAUGCAAUAUCAUCUAAAGUAAAUUCUUAACAAGUUGUUCAUUCCAUCUUUUUGGAUUUUGUAACAUGAGAUCUGAAACAUAAACUAUUCUAGCAGGUUCUUUAAAGGAGUCUUUUGGAGUUGGAGGUGUUUUUGGAAAAAUAAGCUUUUGCGGCGAAAUUGGCUCAAAAUGUGGCAUUUGUACCUCCGUAGGUAACGUACCAGAAGCACCCCAGAAAUAUCCCAGAGGAACCCAGAAAAAGUGUUGAAAACAUCCCAAAAAAAUUACUAAAGGAACCCAAUGGAUAAGUGUUAUGCGGACCCAGCACCCUGGAUAAGGGGUAACCUAAUUACCAGGGGACACCAUCUGCAUGGUUUGAAAGAAACUUUUUGGAAGGAAAAUUCUUCUUCUCACUGACAGUUCAGAGUUCGAAUUUUUAGAGAAUUAGAGUGAGAUUCAAUCUGGAAAUUUUGGUGGGCUGGACUUCCUAGAGCAUAAUAGUGUUGGUAUGGUUGAUUUGAUCGAACGAGUUGGGCUAAACAAGCUAAAAAAAGGAAACAGAGGUGAAACAUAUUUUCGGGAUGCUGUAUGGUUGAUUUUUGGUAAUAUGAUUAGACUAAAGGCCAGAUAAGAUUCUCUAAGAUUUAUAUCAAUCUAAUGAAGGGUUUGGAUUAAUUGGAACACCUGAGAAGCGCGUGAAUCAAAUAGGGAAAGUGAAAGUUCCGUAACUUCCACGAAAAGAAAAAGUGAAAUUUAAUCGGGAUUUUUAGGUUUCUGAAGUGUAUAAAAGGUAGAGGGGAGUCCCAAAAACCGGUUCGAGGAAUUUGGGGUCUAUACGUAGCUUAGAGGAAGCUCAGGGACGAAGAAAUCACGCUGCAAAGAAAGUUGCAACAGCUGGAAGAAGCUGAAGAAUACGAAGAACGGACUUCCGAAGACAGUCGUUCUUCAACAGUGUUUACGACAAAGGGUUUGGGGUCGCAGCUGCAGUCUCAACAACACUUCGUAUCUAUUGUUCUUCUUCUAGCAGCUGAACAGCGCCUUUGCAAUAGUUAUUUAUGUUGCGAUUUUUCUGUUCAAUUGUUUUACUCCCUUUUAAUCAACUUUUGAGCUUUAUACAUGUAUUUCGAGAUCAUGAUUAA